AAAAAUCUGUGGACGUCAUCCAGGAUAUAGAUUUUAAGGAGAUCCAGCUUCUUCACAUCAUUGGACUCCAUUUCCAGCGACUCAAAGAAAAGCUCAAGGUUAUCGUCCAGGACUCAAACCAACGGAGGUGUCCAAAUAAACAAGGUGCAGACAGCUGUGGAUUAAUGGUGCAAACCUACAU